AAAAUUUUCAGACCUCUAUCUUAUAUUAGAGUACUAUUGCAAGAAAAAAUUCGCUUUAAAUUGUGUCAUUUCAUUACGCCAGUGCGUCACGGGAAGAAACAUCUGCGUACAGAGAAAACCUAAAAUCUUGUUGCGAGUAUUUAAUUGACAGUUCAGCAGAGAAGUUUUCGUGCUUGUAAAACUGUCAUCGGAGGCCAAACUUGCAAGUGCCGAUCUUCUUAGUCGACGUGAAGGGUCUUUUAGUCCCAAGAACCACUCAAGGGCAC